AUUGAACGCUGGCGGUAUGCUUAACACAUGCAAGUCGAACGAUGAGAAAGAGCUUGCUCUUUCGAUUAGUGGCGGACGGGUGCGUAACGCGUAGGAAUCUACAUAUUAGUGGGGGACAACUUAGGGAAACUUAAGCUAAUAUCGCAUACGCCCUACGGGGGAAAGAAGGGGAUAGCAAGACCUUUUGCUAAUAGAUGAGCCUGCGUAGGAUUAGCUAGUUGGUGGGGUAAAAGCUCACCAAGGCGACGAUCCUUAACUGGUUUGAAAGAAUGAUAAGUCACACUGGAACUGAGACACGGUCCAGACUCCUACGGGAGGCAGCGGUGGGGAAUAUUGGACAAUGGGCGAAAGCCUGAUCCAGCAAUACCGCGUGUGUGAAUAAGGCCUUAGGGUUGUAAAGCACUUUCAAUUGGAAGGAAAACCUCGAAGCUAAUACCUUCGAGUUUGACAUUACCUUUAGAAGAAGCACCGGCUAACUCCGUGCCAGCAGCCGCCGUAAGAC
rnacentral:rRNA from 1 species